UACGUAGGGCGCAAGCGUUGUCCGGAAUUAUUGGGCGUAAAGAGCUCGUAGGCGGUUUGUCGCGUCUGCUGUGAAAACCUAAGGCUCAACCUUGGGCUUGCAGUGGGUACGGGCAGACUAGAGUGCGGUAGGGGUGACUGGAAUUCCUGGUGUAGCGGUGGAAUGCGCAGAUAUCAGGAGGAACACCGAUGGCGAAGGCAGGUCACUGGGCCGCAACUGACGCUCGAGGCGCGAUAGCGUGGGGAUCAAACAGGG
rnacentral:rRNA from 1 species